UACGGGGGGAGCAAGCGUUGUUCGGAAUUACUGGGCGUAAAGGGCGCGUAGGCGGCCGAUCAAGUCAGGCGUGAAAUUCCCGGGCUCAACCUGGGGGCUGCGCUUGAUACUGAUUGGCUUGAAUGCGGGAGAGGAUAGUGGAAUUCCCAGUGUAGAGGUGAAAUUCGUAGAUAUUGGGAAGAACACCGGUGGCGAAGGCGGCUAUCUGGCCCGUAAUUGACGCUGAGGCGCGAAAGCGUGGGGAGCAAACAGG
rnacentral:rRNA from 1 species